AGACAAGAUGGCGUGCAGGAGAAGGUGCGAUAUGCUGACAAGAACUUCAGAAUUAAACGGGUUGUGCUGCGAAGAAAAUAAGAUGGCGUGCAGGAGAAGGGGCGAUAUGCUGACAAGAACUUCGGAAUUAAACGUCUUCUAACAAAUCAUCAAGGCCAAAAGGAAAAGCAUAUCAUAAAGUAGUUUAUCAUAAAUUAAUUUAGAAAAUGUUUAGUAAAUUUAUACAAACGAAUUAACGUAAUUUGAAUAGAUUCUGUUCUAACUUACUGGUAAUUUAUUUGUGUAAUUAUACUAAACAUUUAUUCACCUCAGGCUUGACAAAUUUUGUUCUGUAUUUUCCUUGGUUUGUCCUUGGUAAAUAUUGACCAAGAUUUACUUUGUCUUUGGUUAAUACCUUUAGUUUUAAAAUACUAUCUACAUACAGUAAUCAUCGUAUUGCUGUAUGUAGAUAUUUUUCACCACUUUAAGAACUAGGCCACAAAGGUUGUGUAAUCUUUUUAUUUCAAAUAAAAAGUGAGUGCACCCUUUGUUGUGUUUUGAUAUWAUUUACUUAAUGCUGAUGAAUUAUGYACAAACACUGGAGCAGACAACUGGCUGACUUGGAAUCAUCUCAACUUACUAACAAUUUGAUAUCUUUCUUUUUGAAUUUUGCUUUUGAUUGCUAUUGAUUGGUUUACAUGAUAUCCAUUUAUUUGAUUGACUCUGAUAUUAAUGUUGAAUGUAUCUGAUUGCCAUUUAUUUUUUCAAUUGCCAUUGAUUUUUUGUUACAUAUAUUCAUGUUCUUAUGAAAAACGUUUUUUCCUUAAUUUUUUGGAUUUAUUUUUUUUACAUAUCAUUGGCAAUAUUUAAAGAAGUUUUGAAUAUACACAAAUUUUCUUUUUAUUUUAUCGUGAACAAUUCAAAAUUACAAAACGAGGUUUGAUUACAAGAUUAGGAAAAAAAGCUUUUUCAUAUACAAAUUGCUUUGACAUUCCAUUUUGGUAUUGAUGCUUUUGUGUGUUACAGUAUUCUUUCACUGUUAUGUUAUGUGUGUUACUGCCUGUGGCACUCUGUGCACAAAUAAUAUAGGACUUUGAUAAAUCAAUUGAAUUUUUCCUAAAAGGAUAUUUUGAUUUAUAUUUUGUCUAACCCAGUAAGAUACAUCAGAUUGCCAUAUAGCUAGAUAGUGAGAGGAUGCUGUGCACAUUUAUUUUGUUUCUUUUUUGUGUGUGUAUCUGAUGAUACUGUAGAACUUCACUCUCUCAUCCUCUAAGCUUUAUUCUUAGCUAUUUUGGCUCCAUUAAAAAAUACAAGUUUUGUACGACGAUACCACAUCCAAUUUUUUUUAAUUCUAUAAAUUUCCUUGAGACAUUGAGGUUCUACAUUAUACAUUUAUUUGUAUCAUAAUAAAAGGAUGGUGCUCGAUCUGCAGUUUUCCUGGAACAGGGUAAGUCAAGUGCAUUGUUCAUCAGCAUUUAGUCUUGUUAUUUCCACUAACAUCCUCUUUCUAUUAUUUAACACUUGACAUGGCUUGUUUUGUCAGUGUUUAAUCUGGUUAUUCUUUGGAUCACUAGAGGAUGUUUGUUGGAUGUUGCAAUUUUCAAAUUAUUUUGCUAAGUAGUGUUCAAGGUUGAUCAAUUUUGUGUUGUGAAGCAACAUAUUGGUUAACAAAAUUCAGAUUAUAUAUCAGCUAUAAAUACUAAAAAUCACACUGCAACAGWCAAGUCAGUUCACAUAAUCAAUCGCAAACCCAGCAAUUCUAAAAUUUUGGUAAACAUAAUAUUAUUUUCUUGACAUUCUUGAUGAAAUAUGAAAACAAUAAUUUGAUAAUACUGAUGAAGCCUUCAUCAUCACUUCAUACAUAUCUGUUGCAUUUGAUUUUAGUAAUUGUACKUUGUUCUUAAAGUGGUGAGAAUUYGAACUUAACGACUAUGAUUGAACACACCAACAUUCAGAGAGAGACACUGUAUACAAAAUUCUACUUUAAUGUUUCACGGCUUGUGCAACACUAAUCCUGAUAUGUACUGUCAAAAUUUCUCCUAACAAAAAUAAAAUCUUAAUAUUUGGCAGUUUAUUUGGUUUCUCUUGACUUGAUUAACCAAAUAUUCAUCAGAUAAUAUUUAUCUAUCAUUUAUCAAAAAAUUCUAAUUUAUCAAACAAAUCUUGUAAUUUGGAAUUGGAGAUCCAUAUGGCUUGGUGUGUUCAUGUCAUAGUCUGACAAAGGUGUUGCUUGAUUAAAAGUACACAAGAGAUGAUAAAUGGUCUUCUAAAAGUUUAUAGUCCAAAUUGAUUUCUGUCCUGUAUUUUUUUACACUGACUUUUACUGUUGGCUUUUUGAUGUAUGCAUUCAAUUCUCAAUUGGCUUCUUUAAUUACUUGCUUUGGGUUGACUGUUGACUUCUAAAUUAGUAUUAUAAGAUACAUCUGAUAGUAUCUUUAAGAAUUUUGCAUUCAGACAUGAUAAAUUAAAUGUAAGAUUACGGAUAAAACACGUAGAAUUUUUAAGAAAGACUGCUUCAAUUUGAUUUAUUAUAAUCAACAAUUUUUUUUGAUUUCACUAAAAUGUGAUAUAUGUUUGAUUGGAUCAAUAGACCAUUUAUUACUCUUGCUGUAAAGUCUUUGUAUGAUUAUGUAACUAUGGCACUGGUAUGAUUAUUGGGUAGAUUGGAUAAAAUAAUAUCCAAWUUGAUGCAGAAACUGUAUGAUCAAUACAUGUCCUAUGCCAUGGUUUAUCAAUAUCAUACAAGAAUUAUCCUACUAUUAGUUCCAGUAAUGAUCAUGCAGAUGAGACGUAGAGCUUUCUAAAUUAGCUGUAAAACUCGUGAACAGACACAUGAUCUCCAUCAUAAUUUCUGAAAUCAAUUGAAUUUAUUUCAUAUUUGUAAAAAAUUCUCAUUGUUGAUCCUUACUGAUGCUGUACACUGAGGCAUAAAACUGGUGUUGUACCUGAAACUCGGUUAAUAAAAACGAUUUACAGUUAUUAUAAAUUUAUAAGUUGUACUACUAGACUUCAAACACGUGUACUUUCAAAUAAUUUCCCAGAAGUACAACAGAGCCAGUUUUUAUGCUUUAAUAUCAGCAUUCUGUACUAGUCUUUUAAUCAAGCAACACCUAUGUCUUUAGAAUMCAAACAAAGUGGACUGUCUGCAAGGCCUUUCGUUCAACUUACUCAUCAACCUUAAGGGGUACCCCUGAACUCUUUGUUUUGGGGUACUUCUUCUUAAGGGUAGGGUAGGUUUGAACUUUUGGUCUUGGGGACCUGCGACUAAUUACCCUAGGGGCAAAAAAAAUUACAAAAAGACUUAGUAUAUAUUUUUUCAAAAUUUAUAGGGAUUUUUUACUUUUUUUUCACAAUUUUUAAUUUUUUUUCUUAUUUUUUUUAGAGCCAAUUUGAAUUUUUUUUUAUUUUUUAAAGCCAAUUUGAUUUUUUUUAUUAAAGUCAAUUUCUGAGUUCUUUUUGUAAUCUGUGAGGCAAUUCUCCUUAUUUUGCAUAUGUCUGCUUGACUUUCCUUUAUCUUGAGUCUUGAGGGUGCUGUCCAAUUUUUCUUGCAUGAACCUACCUGGAUUUGAACCACUUACCUUAUGUCCUGCUUGCACUCUUCUUAACCAGUAUACCAUCAGCUAGUUUGUUGAAUGUGUAGGUUUUGAAGUACCUUAAAUCAUAGUGCUUUGUAUUGACGUGAAUAUGAAUGACCUAAUAAAGAUUCUAAUGAAUA